rnacentral:rRNA from 1 species
GACGAACGCUGGCGGCGUGCUUAACACAUGCAAGUCGAACGGGGCUUGCCCUUUGGGGUGGGUUUAGUGGCGAACGGGUGAGUAACACGUGGGUAAUCUGCCCUCAGCUCUGGGAUAACUCCGGGAAACCGGGGCUAAUACUGGAUAUGACUACUGGUGACAUCGCCUGGUGGUGGAAAGAUUUUUUGGCUGAGGAUGGGCCCGCGGCCUAUCAGCUUGUUGGUGGGGUAAUGGCCUACCAAGGCUUCGACGGGUAGCCGGCCUGAGAGGGCGACCGGCCACACUGGGACUGAGACACGGCCCAGACUCCUACGGGAGGCAGCAGUGGGGAAUAUUGCGCAAUGGGCGGAAGCCUGACGCAGCGACGCCGCGUGAGGGAUGACGGCCUCGGUU